AAAUACUUUAAUAAGAGUUUAAAAGACUAGAAUAAGGAAAGGUUCUAUAUAAAUAGUAAUUAGCUAUAAAUUGAUUAAUCCUAAGCUAUAGAGAAGUUCUAUUUUAAAAAAGUAUUUAUACUUUUUAUAGUAAAAGAAAAACUAGUUAAUAUUCUAAUAUUUAGAUAUAGGUUUCAUAUAGUAAUAUAACUAAAUAUAGAAAUAAUAAUAAGAACUCUAAAUAGAAUUCUCUUUUUUUCUUAAUAGUUCAUUAUUUUAAAAUCAGUUUAUUUUAAACUAGAGUUUAAUAAUUAGAAGAACCUAAUAUUUCUAUUAGAUUUAAUGUAUUUUUAAUAUCCCUUAAACAUCUAUAAGAAGGAAAAAUUCUAAUAUUAAAUUAUACUUAUAAUUAUAAUAAAUCUCUAGAAUAAAUAACCUCUAGUU
rnacentral:ncRNA from 1 species